AUACGUAGGGUGCGAGCGUUGUCCGGAAUUACUGGGCGUAAAGAGCUCGUAGGUGGUUUGUCGCGUCGUCUGUGAAAUUCCGGGGCUUAACUCCGGGCGUGCAGGCGAUACGGGCAUAACUUGAGUACUGUAGGGGAGACUGGAAUUCCUGGUGUAGCGGUGAAAUGCGCAGAUAUCAGGAGGAACACCGGUGGCGAAGGCGGGUCUCUGGGCAGUAACGAACGCUGAGGAGCGAAAGCAUUGGUAGCGAACAGGAUUAGAUACCCUGGUAGUCCAUGCCGUAAACGGUGGGCGCUAGGUGUAGGGGUCUUCCACGACUUCUGUGCCGUAGCAAACGCAUUAAGCGCCCCGCCUGGGGAGUACGGCCGCAAGGCUAAAACUCAAAGGAAUUGACGGG
rnacentral:rRNA from 1 species